rnacentral:ncRNA from 1 species
UUUACCGCGAGGUAAGCACUGAAGGAAGCGAGACUGCAAAAUCCGGUACCGACGAACAGAAACUACAUAUGAGGCUAUCAAGGUCGGGUAAGCAAGCACAUCUUUGUAAAGCCCAAAACUUCGUAAGAUGAGAGCCUUGUUAGUAGAUGUAGCGGGCAUCGGAGGAAAGAGGAUGUU